UAGGCGUAAAUGAUGCGAGUUAAGUGUGGGGGCAUCUACGAGAUGGCCCUGUGCUGUAGGGUAGCCGUUAAACUCGCUGCCUGGGGAGUACGGUCGCAAGGCUGAAACUUAAAGGAAUUGGCGGGGGAGCACCACAACGGGUGGAGCUUGCGGUUUAAUUGGAUUCAACGCCGGAAAUCUUACCGGGACCGACAGCAACAUGAAGGCCAGGCUGAAGACUUUGCCGGAUUAGCUGAGAGGUGGUGCAUGGCGUAGUCGUGU
rnacentral:rRNA from 1 species